CUACGGGACGCAGCAGUGGGGAAUCUUAGACAAUGGGCGCAAGCCUGAUCUAGCCAUGCCGCGUGAGUGACGAAUGCCUUAGGGUCGUAAAGCUCUUUCGCUGGGGAAGAUAAUGACGGUACCCAGUAAAGAAACCCCGGCUAACUCCGUGCCAGCAGCCGCGGUAAUACGGAGGGGGUUAGCGUUGUUCAGAAUUACUGGGCGUAAAGCGCGCGUAGGCGGAUCAGAAAGUUGGGGGUGAAAUCCCGGGGCUCAACCCCGGAACUGCCUUCAAAACUCCUGGUCUUGAGUUCGAGAGAGGGGAGUGGAAUUCCGAGUGUAGAGGUGAAAUUCGUAGAUAUUCGGAGGAACACCAGUGGCGAAGGCGGCUCACUGGCUCGAUACUGACGCUGAGGUGCGAAAGCGUGGGGAGCAAACAGGAUUAGAUACCCUAGUAGUC
rnacentral:rRNA from 1 species